UGGCUCAGGACGAACGCUGGCGGCGUGCUUAACACAUGCAAGUCGAACGAUGAACCACUUCGGUGGGGAUUAGUGGCGAACGGGUGAGUAACACGUGGGCAAUCUGCCCUUCACUCUGGGACAAGCCCUGGAAACGGGGUCUAAUACCGGAUACCACUACCGCAGGCAUCUGUGGUGGUUGAAAGCUCCGGCGGUGAAGGAUGAGCCCGCGGCCUAUCAGCUUGUUGGUGAGGUAAUGGCUCACCAAGGCGACGACGGGUAGCCGGCCUGAGAGGGCGACCGGCCACACUGGGACUGAGACACGGCCCAGACUCCUACGGGAGGCAGCAGUGGGGAAUAUUGCACAAUGGGCGAAAGCCUGAUGCAGCGACGCCGCGUGAGGGAUGACGGCCUUCGGGUUGUAAACCUCUUUCAGCAGGGAAGAAGCGAAAGUGAC
rnacentral:rRNA from 1 species